AUAUCAAUAAGCGGAGGAAAAGAAACUAACAAGGAUUCCCCUAGUAACGGCGAGUGAAGCGGGAAAAGCUCAAAUUUGGAAUCUACCAAGAGUAACAUUCUUGGUCGAAUUGUAGUUUCAAGAAAGGGUGGCUGAGCGAAGCCGGAUAGAUGCAAGUUCUUUGGAACAGGACAUCAGAGAGGGUGACAAUCCCGUCCACCAUCUAUCCGUUUGCUUCUCAUCAAAGGCCCUCUUUUCAAAGAGUCGAGUUGUUUGGGAUUGCAGCUCAAAAUGGGUGGUAAAUUUCAUCUAAAGCUAAAUAUGGGUGAGAGACCGAUAGCGAACAAGUACCGUGAGGGAAAGAUGAAAAGCACUCUGAAGAGAGAGUGAAAGGUAC
rnacentral:rRNA from 1 species